rnacentral:rRNA from 1 species
UACGUAGGUGGCAAGCGUUGUCCGGAUUUAUUGGGCGUAAAGGGAGCGCAGGUGGUGAUUUAAGUCUGAUGUGAAAGCCCACGGCUCAACCGUGGAAGGUCAUUGGAAACUGGAUCACUUGAGUGCAGAAGAGGAAAGUGGAAUUCCAUGUGUAGCGGUGAAAUGCGUAGAUAUAUGGAGGAACACCAGUGGCGAAGGCGACUUUCUGGUCUGUAACUGACACUGAGGCUCGAAAGCGUGGGGAGCAAACAGG